rnacentral:tRNA from 1 species
GGGCAGGUUGGGGAGCGGUCAAACCCAGCGGACUGUAAAUCCGCCGCCUCGUGCUUCGCAAGUUCGAAUCUUGCUCUGCCCACCA